GCAAUAUUUAUGUGGGAGCCACACUUUUGGCAAUAUUUUUUUGGCUGCCACAUCGAAGCUCCACCCAGUAACUCCCUCUCCCUCCUUUCUUCUUCCAAUGUGGCCAUUUUCCAGCUGUUUACUCUGUGUGCACAUAACCUUUCUAGUUCAAAAUCCAUCCAAAGUGCUUGUGCUUGGUCUUAAAGCUGCUGCUGAAACACCCAAGCUGAAGAGAAAGAUGGAAAGUUAGAGGACUGCUUGAAAAUGAAGCUGCUUUCGUUUUUUUUUUUUUUUUUUUUUUUUUACGGAUUGCAAAAAAAAAAAGAAAAACGGUCUUGUGAUAAUGAAGAAGAGGAGGGGAGGGAAUUGAUGGAUCGGCAAAAAAGUGAAACUUUUGGAUAUGAUAAAGACCGCAGAAGUUACGCUUUGUGGCACCAUGAUGGCGUGAAUGAAUCAGGGGCAUCCCACAUAAAGAUUGAUGUGGUAAACAUCAACCUGAAGCUACAAGGAAGCAUUUGACGCUUCAAGGACAAGGCAAAGAGGAUUCGAGGCCAGAAUGAUUUGGAGACGGUGAGAGAGACACAUGCCGCAUUUUCCUCGCAAACAAAAGUGAGGAGGGGGUGCCACACCAACGUCAUGGAAGUCAUGUAACAGCGGCGCGUCGGAGGCGACGUCACAACAAUGUGCUACGGACAUUUGUCGUUGACAUUUGUUUGUGACUUUCUGUACUGUAAUAAAAAUGUUAUUUUAUUGUUAUUGUUUAAGUAGA